rnacentral:rRNA from 1 species
CUUAAGAGUUUGAUUCUGGCUCAGGAUGAACGCUGGCGGCGUGCUUAACACAUGCAAGUCGAACGAGGGCGAUAGCAAUAUUGCCCGAGUGGCGGACGGGUGAGUAACGCGUGAACAAUCUGCCUGUAUCAGGGGAAUAACACUAAGAAAUUGGUGCUAAUACCGCAUAAGACCACGGAGAGGCAUCUCUACGGGGUAAAAGAUUUAUCGGAUACAGAUGAGUUCGCGUCCCAUUAGGUAGUUGGUGAGGUAACGGCUCACCAAGCCGACGAUGGGUAGCCGACCUGAGAGGGUGAUCGGCCACAUUGGAACUGAGAGACGGUCCAGACUCCUACGGGAGGCAGCAGUGGGGAAUAUUGGGCAAUGGAGGGAACUCUGACCCAGCAACGCCGCGUGAGUGAAGAAGGUUUUCGGAUUGUAAAACUCUUUAAGCGGGGACGAAGAAAGUGACUGUACCCGCAGAAUAAGCAUCGGCUAACUACGUGCCAGCAGCCGCGGUAAUACGUAGGAUGCAAGCGUUAUCCGGAAUGACUGGGCGUAAAGGGUGCGUAGGUGGUUUGUCAAGUUGGCAGCGUAAUUCCGUGGCUCAACCGCGGAACUACUGCCAAAACUGAUAGGCUUGAGUGCGGCAGGGGUAUGUGGAAUUCCUAGUGUAGCGGUGGAAUGCGUAGAUAUUAGGAGGAACACC